rnacentral:rRNA from 1 species
CAGCAGCCGCGGGAAUACAGAGGAUGGAAGCGUUAUCCGGAAUGAUUGGGCGUAAAGGGUGCGUAGGCGGUUCAGCAAGUCUCGUGUGAAAUCUUCGGGCUUAGCCCGAAGUCUGCACGGGAAACUACUGGGCUUGAGUAAUGGAGAGGUGAGUGGAAUUUCCGGUGUAGCGGUGAAAUGCGUAGAUAUCGGAAGGAACACCUGUGGCGAAAGCGGCUCGCUGGACAUUUACUGGCGCUGAUGCACGAAAGCUAGGGGAGCAAACAGGAUUAGAUACCCGCGUAGUCCCUGUCUCUUAUAC